rnacentral:rRNA from 1 species
UUAUGUUACUUGAUGUAUUAACUGGAUUUGAUAAGAUAAAAGUUUGUACGUCUUAUAAAAUGGGCGAUAAGAUAAUAACGGAUUUCCCAGCUUCAUUAGAUGAUUUAGCAAAAUGUGAACCUGUAUAUGAAGAAUUAGAUGGAUGGAAUGAAGAUAUAACUCAAAUAGAUAACUUUGAUGACCUUCCAGAAAAUGCAAAGAAAUAUGUAGCAAAAAUAGAAGAACUAGUUGGAGUAAGUGUAGAUAUGGUUUCUGUUGGUCCAAAUAGAGCUCAAACUAUAAUAAGAAGAAAUAUAUUUGCUUAAUAUUUUAUCAAUUAAAUAAUUUAAAAUAGUUGAAGAAGAGUAUCUCAAGAUAAUGUUUAUAGUUAUUAGAGAUGCUCUUUUAUAUUUGACUUACAUUGAUUUUUUAUUAAGUUAAAGCUACUUAUACAUAUUCUAGCUGAAAUUAAAGUUGAAUUUAUGUAGAUACAUAUAGGUUUUUUAAAAAGAAUUUUGUUGAAAAUAAAUGGCUAAAGAUGAUUUUAAUUAUAUUCUAAAAAAAGUAAAAAAAACUAUUGACUAAAAAUUGUAUAGACGCUAUAAUAUAACUUGUGAGUGAAAGAAACGACGAAAAAAGUCGAAAAAAUGUGGUCUAUUAGCUCAGUCGGUAGAGCACCUGACUUUUAAUCAGGGUGUCCCGCGUUCGAGUCGCGGAUAGAUCACCAAAAUAUGGCUCGUUGGUCAAGAGGUUAAGACACCGCCCUUUCACGGCGGUAACAGGGGUUCAAUUCCCCUACGAGUCACCAGUAUGGGACUAUAGCUCAGCUGGGAGAGCACCUGCCUUACAAGCAGGGGGUCACAGGUUCGAGCCCUGUUAGUCCCACCAAAUUUUGAAUUAGAGAUAAAUACUAGAUUAUAUGCUGGUGUGGCUCAACGGUAGAGCAGCUGACUUGUAAUCAGCAGGUUGUAGGUUCGAUUCCUAUCACCAGCUCCACAAAGUACAUAAAUUCAAAUUAAUAUAAUUUUCUAUGUUACAGGAUACUUUUAAGUAUCUUUUUUUAAUUUCAUUUUUAUUGUAUUAAAAAUGAAAUUAAACAUACAACAAAAUUUUGAAUUACUUGCAAUGUGAUAGUUUUAAAUAUAAAAUUUAGAAUCAUUCUAGCAUAGUAUUAUGUAAUAUAGCAAAUUUAAUUUAUAGUAUCAAUAAAUAUAGACUACUAAGAAUGUAAAUGAUUUGUUAGAUUAAGAUACAUUAGAUAUGUAAAUAGAAAAAUAAAAAAUAUGUUUUAAUUUAUGUGGCAUAAGUUUUAAACAGAGAAGCAAGUUUGCUCUUACCUCUCUAUUUAAAAAUAAAAAAAUGUUUUUUAAGGGCUAUUUUAUUUAAAUCUUUCCCAUCUCAAAUCAUCUCCAGUAAAUUCUAAAAUCCUAAACUUAUCUAAGAUUCUAGAGAGAGUUCUUUGAGUGUAAGUAUUUCCUAUUUGAGAUGGUGUUAAGUUGGUUGAAAUAAUGAUUUUUUUACCAGCAACAAGUCUUGUAUUUACAAUAUUGAAGAUUUCCCCACUAGUAAAAGAAUUAUUAAGUUCAGUUCCAAGGUCAUCUAUUAUUAAUAAAUCACAAUCAAACAAGUUUUUAUAAUUAUCUUCACUUAUUUGGUUAUUUGUGUCUCUUCUAAAUUUAUAAUCUUCAAGAAUAUCUAAAAUUCUAAAAGAAGUUUGAUAGAUUACAACAUUUCCUUUAUCUAACAAUUCCUUUGCAAUACAAUUGCACAUAUAGGUCUUUCCUAGUCCAGUAGAACCAUAAAACAGUAGAUUUUCACUAUUAUCCUUCUUAAAAUCAUGAACAAAAUUUUCGCAGAUACUUAAAUUAUUUAGCAUAUUUUCUCUAGGAGAUAUUUCCCCAUCAGAGCCUUUCUUAGGAGAAAAUAUAUUCAAGUUAAAAUUCGAAAAAUUUUCCUGACUUAAAAUCCUAUCUAAAUUAGACAUUUUAUAAGCUUCAUUUACAAUUUCUUGUUUGAGGCAAGAACAUUUUUCUCCAUUAGGUAAAAAUCCUUUAUCUUUACAAGAAAUACAUUGAAACUUUAUUUCCAAGUAAUCAAGAGGUAUGUUACUUUCAGAUAAAAGUUUUUCUUUCUUUACUUUUAAAGACUCUAUAUUCUCUUUAGUCUUCUUUACAAUUUCAUCUUUAGAUUUGGGAUUUAAAAGUACUAUCUUAGCUAAACUGAGACCUAUUUUAGAAAUUUCAUCAUCUAUAGAUUUUAUCUCAGGGAUUCUAUUAUAUACCUCAUUUUUUCUAUGUUCUAAUAAGAGUUCAUUAUCAUCUCUUCUCUUAGCAUAUUUAGCAAGUAUUUUUCUUAUUUUAUCCUCAUUCAUUUAAUCACCUACUUAAACUUUUCUUUUUGACUUUUUUUAAUAAUCUCAUCGAGCUCAUCAGAGGUAUACUGAGUGAAUGUUUCGUUGAAAUUAUGAAACUUAGUUUUUUUGUAAGUAUUGUUGUUUUGAGUAGUAUUAAUCUGCUUCUUAUUAAUAUUCUCCUUAACUAUACGUUCUUCCUCUUUUUGCUUUAAAUCAUUUAAAUUUUUUAUAUUUUUUUCAUUCCAAUUUUUAAUUAUACCAUUUAUAUAAGAUAUACUUGGGUUUGAAAUAUUCUUAGACUUAGAACAUGCAUUUAUUAUCAAAUCUAUAUCCAUAUUAAAUUUAUCAAACCAGGUGUCCAUAAGUUCUUUUUCUGAUUUUGAUGGUUGUCUUGAAAAUCCCAAUUCAUUGAAAAUCGUUUUAUAUAAAANCCGAACCCACGAGCGUUGAAAAGCUCGGGGAUGACUUGUGGGUAGCGGUGAAAUUCCAAUCGAGCCCGGAGAUAGCUGGUUCUCCCCGAAAUAGCUUUAGGGCUAGCCUCAAGGUGAGAGAUACGGAGGUAGAGCACUGAAUGUCCUAGGGGGUAUUGCACCUACCGAAGACUAUCAAACUCCGAAUGCCGUCAUCUUAUACUUGGGAGUCAGACUGUGGGUGAUAAGAUUCAUAGUCGAAAGGGCAACAGCCCAGAUCGUCAGCUAAGGUCCCUAAAUGUAAGUUAAGUGGUAAAGGAUGUGGGAUUGCACAGACAACCAGGAUGUUGGCUUAGAAGCAGCCACUCAUUCAAAGAGUGCGUAAUAGCUCACUGGUCGAGUGAUCCUGCGCCGAAGAUUUCCGGGGCUAAAACUUACUACCGAAGCUACGGCAUCAGUAAUGAUGGGUAGGGGAGCUUCCCAUACGGGUUGAAGCAUGACCGUAAGGACAUGUGGACAGUAUGGGAGUGAGAAUGUUGGCAUGAGUAGCGAGAUGUGGGUGAGAAUCCCACAGGCCGUAAACCCAAGGUUUCCAGGGGAAGGUUCGUCCGCCCUGGGUUAGUCGGGACCUAAGCUGAGGCCGAAAGGCGUAGGUGAUGGACAACAGGUUGAUAUUCCUGUACUACCGAUAACCGUUUGAGAGAAGGGAUGACACAGUAGGAUAAGCUAAGCACACUGUUGGUUAUGUGUGCCCAAGCAUUGAGGCAGUCAAAGUAGGCAAAUCCGCUUUGAUAAUGCUGGGAUGUGAUGGGGAGCGAAAUUUAGUAGCGAAGUAGCUGAUUUCACACUGUCAAGAAAAGUCUCUAUCGAGGUUAAAGGUACCCGUACCGCAAACCGACACAGGUGGGUGAGGAGAGUAUCCUAAGGCCAGCGAGAGAACUGUUGUUAAGGAACUCGGCAAAAUGACCCCGUAACUUAGGGAUAAGGGGUGCCACCAUCAGGUGGCCGCAGAGAAUAGGCCCAAGCGACUGUUUACCAAAAACAUAGGUUUCUGCUAAGUCGCAAGACGAUGUAUAGGAGCUGACGCCUGCCCGGUGCUGGAAGGUUAAGGGGAUCUGUUAGAGCAAUCGAAGCAGUGAACUUAAGCCCCAGUAAACGGCGGCCGUAACUAUAACGGUCCUAAGGUAGCGAAAUUCCUUGUCGGGUAAGUUCCGACCCGCACGAAAGGCGUAACGAUUUGGGCACUGUCUCAACAACAGACUCGGUGAAAUUGUAAUUCCGGUGAAGAUGCCGGAUACCUGCGACAGGACGGAAAGACCCCAUGGAGCUUUACUGUAGCUUGACAUUGGGUCUUGGUACUACAUGUACAGGAUAGGUGGGAGGCUUUGAAACCAGGACGCCAGUUUUGGCGGAGCCAUCCUUGGGAUACCACCCUUGUAGUACUGGGACUCUAACCAUAGGCCAUGAAUCUGGUCUUGGGACACUGUCAGGUGGGCAGUUUGACUGGGGCGGUCGCCUCCCAAAAGGUAACGGAGGCGCUCAAAGGUUCUCUCAGUACGGUCGGAAAUCGUACGUAGAGUGUAAAGGCAAAAGAGAGCUUGAUUGCAAGACAUACAGGUCGAGCAAGGAUGAAAAUCGGACUUAGUGAUCCGGUGGUUCUGCGUGGAAGGGCCAUCGCUCAACGGAUAAAAGCUACCCUGGGGAUAACAGGCUUAUCUCCCCCAAGAGUCCACAUCGACGGGGAGGUUUGGCACCUCGAUGUCGGCUCAUCACAUCCUGGGGCUGUAGUAGGUCCCAAGGGUUGGGCUGUUCGCCCAUUAAAGUGGUACGCGAGCUGGGUUCAGAACGUCGUGAGACAGUUCGGUCCCUAUCCGUCGCAGGCGUAGGAAAUUUGAGAAGACCUGUCCUUAGUACGAGAGGACCGGGAUGGACGUACCUCUGGUGUACCAGUUGUCCUGCCAAGGGCAUGGCUGGGUAGCUAUGUACGGAAUGGAUAAGCGCUGAAAGCAUCUAAGCGCGAAGCCAACUUCAAGAUAAGAUUUCCCACCGCAAGGGUAAGACCCCAGAAAGACUAUCUGGUUGAUAGGUCGAAGGUGUAAGUGCAGUAAUGUAUUUAGCUUAUCGAUACUAAUAGGUCGAGGACUUGACCAA